rnacentral:rRNA from 1 species
UACGUAGGUGACAAGCGUUGUCCGGAUUUACUGGGCGUAAAGAGCGCGCAGGCGGUCGUUCAAGUCGAGUGUGAAAGCCCCCGGCUCAACUGGGGAGGGUCAUUCGAUACUGAUCGACUCGAAGGCAGGAGAGGGAAGCGGAAUUUCCGGUGUAGCGGUGAAAUGCGUAGAUAUCGGAAGGAACACCAGUGGCGAAAGCGGCUUCCUGGUCCAGCACCGACGUUCAGGCACGAAAGCGUGGGGAGCAAACAGG